AAACAAAAUAAAAAACUAAUAAGGAGGUAGGAACAGCACCAUCAUCUUUGGUUGUCUACAAAUAAACUGUUUUUUUUUUUUUUUUUUUUUUUUAA
rnacentral:ribozyme from 1 species